GUGAAAUGCCUGUGGAGGUCUGCAAAGGCAGGGCCAGAACAAGAACUAAAUUUGAAGGGGGAUUUGAUCCAAGUGGGAGGCAGAUAAUGAGUGGAUUAACUCAGGUCAAGGGAAGAAAAAAGUGAAGGAGAAAAAUAGAUGAAGUAGUUGCAUAUUGGAAUAACAAGUAACUAGAGGUGACCUUUUUGAUGUAGAUGGCAGAGCCAGCUAACAGGGAGCUUUGCAGCAGGCAGGGAAUACUCCUGAAACUGCAAAUGUCCCAGGAGGGAGGUGAGAGAGGCUUCCAAUGCUGAGCACAGAGAGGUCUGCUCAGUCCUCCUGCAAACAGCUGAUGAGUGGCAAAACUUGCUUUCAGAAUUGAUAAAAGCACCCCUAAGGGAGCUGAUGGCUUACAGAAUUACUUCCAAGAGGAAACUCUUUCACUCAGAUGACUGCAAACUGGAUCAAACUGAACUCCACAAGCACGCUGCAUUUUGAAAAGUAAUUGUGCUCAGGAUCGUCCUGGCUGCUGUGUUGUAAACAGACUACCUGGGCUAAAGGGCAGAAGGAGAUCAGUUAUGGCAAUCCUGGCUACUGAUGAUGAAAACUUGGACCCAGGAGUUGCAAUGGAAGCAAUGAAAAGAGCAGAAGUUUCUGGAUUCAUUUUAAAUUUAGAACUGACCAGUAUUAACAGGUGCAGUCUUGUAAGGUGAUUGAGUUAUGAUGGCUCCACCUUCACAUGUGGGAUUAGCACCCUUUUAAGAGGGCUCCAAGUGGAAGGGAGCACUCUCUUGCUCUUCUGCUCUUCUGCCAUGUGAGACGGCAGUGCUCCUCCCCUCCAGAGGACGCAACAAUAAGAUGCCAUCUUGGAAGCUGAAAGCAGCCCUCACCAGAUGCCACUUCUGCUAGUGCCUUGAUCUUGAACUUUCCAGCCUCCAGAAUCAUGAGAAAUAAAUU
rnacentral:lncRNA from 10 species